GACGAACGCUGGCGGCGUGCUUAACACAUGCAAGUCGAACGGAAAGGCCCUGCUUUUGUGGGGUGCUCGAGUGGCGAACGCGUGAGUAACACGUGAGUAACCUGCCCUUGACUUUGUGAUAACUUCAGGAAACUGGGGCUAAUACCGGAUAGGAGCUCCUGCUGCAUGGUGGGCGUUGGAAAGUUUCGGCGGUUGGGGAUGGACUCGCGGCUUAUCAGCUUGUUGGUGGGGUAGUGGCUUACCAAGGCUUUGACGGGUAGCCGGCCUGAGAGGGUGAACGGCCUCAUGGGGACUGAGAGACGGCCCAGACGCCUACGGGAGGCAGCAGUGGGGAAUAUUGCACAAUGGGCGGAAGCCUGAUGCAGCAACGCCGCGUGCGGGAUGACGGCCUUCGGGUUGUAAACCGCUUUCGCCUGUGACGAAGCGUGAGUGACGGUAAUGAGUCAAGAAGCAACGGCUAACUACGUG
rnacentral:rRNA from 1 species